rnacentral:tRNA from 1 species
AGGAUAAUAGUUUAAUUAAACAUUUAAUUUGCAUUUAAAAAUAUUGGGGGCCCCAAUUAUCUUA